UUUCAUCACUUCCCAGAAAGAAAAUCUGAUUAAGUAGCCUUGAUGAAGAAUAAAAUUACAGUCUAGUUUUUACAAAAACUUUAUUUUUUUUGAAGCAAAGGAUUUCUCCCUUUCUGCCUCCCUCUCUCCUGAUAUUUAAAUGUUUCUGACAUGUCUUGUCAGAAAGAACAAGAGUGUGGGGUUUUUCUUAAAUGACAAGUAUAUCUGCCGUGCUUCUAAAAUGUACACAGCUAGAUCAUGCUUAUAGACUUCGGUAAGAAUUUAAUUUGCAUCACUCCAGGAAUAACUUCUGACUAAGCUGUGCUGCUCCAAAAGGGAGCAGAGUGGAUCACAGUAAUCUGCUGUGCUCUUUGAAAUGCUGUGAAGUAGACUGAAACUAUUGUGUAUUUGUGUAAUUCUGUGUGGAGAAAGAGGGGACAGCAUGCUCUCUGCAGCCAGGGCUGUGCAGUGACUUCUAGUCGAUGGGCAUGACAAAGAUGUAUAAUCAUUCUUCAACUUUGCAUUAGUAGAUUUUAGCUGUUUGCUGAAGUUCCUGAACUGCUUGAAUUUUUCAAAUAAGUUUUUGACUAGGAGCAAGAGGAGGGUUCAAAAUUAGUUACAUACUUUAAAUCACUGCACAGGUAUAACUUUUCUGACCACCAGUAUGAUGCUGAGGUGUAAAACUUGAGUGAUUUCUUGGUGUGGUGGCUAGAAGCUAUGAAGUACUUUGAUGCUAUUUAAGAUGUGGUUUUGAGCACCAAAGUUUGGCCAGAUGUUCAUGCAGGAAAUGCAAAAAGUGUAGUUGUAAUUUGAACUAAAAAUUGUGCCAGUAUAGAAAUUGACCAUUAAUUCUUCUUGGCAUUCUUUUUAGCCAUUGAACUAAUAAAGCAAAUUUUUAGACUUGGCCUUUAGAACCAGGUGGUGUCUAGAAAUAGGAGUUAUGGGACCAGCUGAUGUUUACUCUGCUGAAACUUACUCACUUUGCUCCAAGAGGAUUGUCCUAUGGUGAAAAGGUUUUCAGUACAACAUAUAGAGGGAUACAGAGUAUCUAACCUCAAAGUAAAAUUCUGUGUUUAUCUUCAAAUUGUAGGGUAUGAUGAGAUUGUCAGGAGGCUAAAAGACCUGAUAGAUAAUGUAUACGUGUCCCUAAUUUUUUAGCAGUUGGUGAAAGAAUGCUGUCUUCAGCACUUUCAUUAAGUGUGAAGUAGAAGGGUAACAGUGUAAAGUUGGGGGAAAACAGCCUCUUACAGGUGUAACAGUUUCUACUGAGUAUUGAGACAGCAGGUUUUCUGUUUGCAAUAUGGACCCAAAUUGGAUCCUCCUCCUCGUGCAAACAGCAGCUCCACAAUUUCAAGCCCCUUUGUGAAGCAGUAAUUUACCUUUCCAGUAGAUUAUGAGCCCUUAGCCCUGCAGAAGCUUGUCUAAGAAUCUUUGAUUGAAUACCGUUUCACCAAGUAACUAGAUUUUAAAGUUCAAUGAGCAACUUUGGCAAUAAUUGGAUUCAGAACAUUCAUACCCAAUACCUUUUUAUGUGGUCAGAGUUUAUUUGUUAUAAGUAAGGAAAGCAUCAAUGUAUAUAGCAAAACAUUAUUUUGAUAGCAGUGCACCUGUUUGAUUACUUUGUGUAGAAUAGGGUUGCAAGCAUUAGCCUAGAGAUUGGCUCUUACUCCUUGUUUGAAGGGUAAAACCUAAUCUGACUUUUCAGGGACAUGUUGUGUAUUAUAGGCAGUUCCACAUUAUAAACAUUUGAAGCUAAAGUGGAAGGGGUAUGUGUGUUAA